rnacentral:rRNA from 1 species
GACGAACGCUGGCGGCGUGCCUAAUACAUGCAAGUCGAACGCAGUGGGGACGGGUGAGUAACACGUGGGUAACCUCCCAUCAGAGGGGAUAACACUUGGAAACAGGUGCUAAACCGAUACUGAUUGAUGGACCCGCUGUGCAUUAGCUAGGUGGUGAGGUAACGGCUCACCAAGGCGACGAGGCAUAGCCGAGCUGAGAGGGGGAUCGGCCACACUGGAACUGAGACACGGCCCAGACUCCUACGGGAGGCAGCAGUAGGGAAUCUUGGGCAAUGGACGAAAGGCUGAUCGAGCAACGCCGCGUGUGUGAAGAAGGUUUGCGGAUCGUAAAGCACUUUCGUUAGAGAAGCGUUACCUGACCAGAAAGCCCCGGCUAACUCCGUGCCAGCAGCCGCGGUAAUAC